UACGUAGGAGGCAAGCGUUGUCCGGAAUUACUGGGCGUAAAGCGCGUGUAGGUGGUGGGACAAGUCUGCUGUGAAAGCGCCUGGCUUAACCGGGCGAGGUCGGCGGAAACUGUCGCACUCGAGGACGGUAGAGGGGGUGGAAUUCCGGUGUAGUGGUGAAAUGCGUAGAGAUCGGGAGGAACACCUGUGGCGAAGGCGGCCCCCUGGCC
rnacentral:rRNA from 1 species